AUAACCGUUCCAUCACACUGUUACGGAUACCCGCUUCGGGUAAGAAAAGCAUUUUAGCCAAAGAUGCAAAUCCUGUGUAGUUUACGGUCCAGCCAUAAAACCUCUAGCAGGGAGCAGCAUUCUCGGUAUCUUCUUUCAGAGGAGAAUUCUGAAAUGCGAUGCUCUUUGUGCGCUUGAAGUUUUCACUUAAAAGAUUUAUGAGUCCGUCGUAGUCAAGUUACCAACUUACAGUGACCAUCAGAACUCUACUAUAGUCUACCGUGUGUAGUACCGCUGCGCCGUUCAGAGUAUCGAUGUCAUUCUCGACUCUCCGUAAUAACGAUUCGGAUUGUUCAUAUAAAGUAUAAUGAAUUUAAAAUAAAAAUUAAGAUCGCACAUUUCAUUGGGAUAUUUUUUAAUAUUUUAAAUGUUAACAUAAGAGUGCCUCAAAGUUUUUGAAAAUGAUUGUGGUUUUUUUAAAUUCAUUUUCAUGAUGCAAUUCACCUAAUAAUUCAUACUGUAGUAUUUGUCAAUACAACUGUCUUGUGCAGAGCAGUUUAGAACUUUAUUACGGCUAGAUUGUCAAGAUGAAUUCCUAACUCGAUUGGUAUACAUUGUUAAUGAGUAUGCAAAUUCGCGUGCAUCAUCAGGAAGAGUGAUGUAUCAUGAAUAUCAUGAUCUUGUGCAUAAUGUGGCUUAUUAGCUUUUCGCAUCAUGCACGAAGCUUAAUAAGGAAUUUAUUAGAGCAGCAGUCUGUUUGAUAAACCGGCAAUAUCGAUUAAAGGUCAUCGUGAACGAUGAUACUGAGAGUAUGAUAAGUAUUUUUAAAAAGGUUGACGGUCUUAUUUUUGCUGGUAAUUUUACAUUGGCAGCAUCUCUUUGCGAUUAUUCAAAUAUUCAUAGAAAUCGAUCAAUCGAUUGGCGAUGAUGCUAUUUGAUGGAUACUUAUUAUGUUAUACGUUUCUUGAUAUUUGUAAAUACAAUUAUUAUAAUUAGUAAACAUAGAAAAGACGGAUCAAAUACGCCACGCGGAUAGUACAUGAUACAUGAUGUUUCAUAUGUGAUUUUUUAAUAUAAUGUGUAUCAGUGAUAAUUAACGCAAUAUACAUAUUUCCAGUGUUUCAUUAUUGUAGUAAACAACGCAAAACAUUUGAUAACUGUCUUUUUUUUAAAUGUUCAAUAAUAUGUUUAUCUAAUUAUUCCAAAAAGAUUGAGUGGUUAAUUUUACACGUUAAUUUUUUAAUUGUUGUACAGGGUCUUUCAGCCUGAUUGAAUAGAUGGUUGCGUCAGAUGCCAUCAGUCUUCAACUAUACCAAAAUUCAUUUCACAAAAAUGGAAUUUCGAAUAUUCAUUAAUAUUUAGUAGAUUAUUAAUUUUGUUGGUUUUACCACCUUGAUCAAUAUCGAUUAGAUGAAAGUAAUAAAGCUGUUGCUUGUACGGGGAGCAAAUAUUAGCGCACGGUGCAAAGAGUCAACUCUAAUAUAGAUAACGGCCGGAGAGUGAUUAUGUUAAGAUUUCAAAAAGUGGUAUACGUCAGUAAAAGUGAAGAAUUUCUUAACUGGGAUCCAAUAAGCAAGAAACUUUCUCUGAAGAAAUCAGCAAUUUCUGAACCAGCAUCAAAUGGAGUCCUAAUCAAAGCUGCUUAUUCAGGAAUAUAUGGAACAGAUUUUCACAUUAUGGAAGCAAAUUCUUAAAAAUAAUAUUCCUGGAUCCAAAAAAGAUGGACCCUUUACUCUCGACCAUGAAUCUUGCGGUAAGAUCCAAGGUAUUGGUUGUGCUGUACAAGUCUUUGAAAUUGGGCAGAGUUGCUAUCGAUUCAAAAGAAGCUGUAUCACUUGCGACGAAUGCCACAAGGAGAAAUAUCAUUUUUGACAAAAUACUGAUGCAAAGAAUAGAUGUAGAACUAAUGAGGAUGGUGCAUGGGUUACGCACAUCCUGGUAGAAGGGUGGCAGGUCUGUAAUGUUCACUUGAUACCUGAUGAUGUUGAAUUAGCCAAGGCUGCUCUUACAAAACCAUUAUCUUGUAUAACACAUGAAUGAGAUCUGAUAAAUCUAAAAACCGUAAGAACUUGAAUAUCGAUAGCAGUUGCCGGAAUUAUUGGAUCACUUUGGUCAGCUGUUCUUCAUCUGCGUAGAAUUAGAAAAAUAUUAAUCAUUAGUGAAGUAUAGGAAAAGAAAGAAGAAGUAGUUAAAGAUUCAGAUCUGGGUUACGAGGUGAAGAGUGCCACAGAAUUGCAAGGUCAAGAAUUUUAUUUAACUAUAGAUUGCGGUGGUUCUGGGCCUACUAUUGACGGCGCAUUACCUUCUCUUGGUCGUUGAGGACGUCUCCUUAUUUUUGGAGUAGCUCAUACACAAACGAAAGUAACCGUAGAAUCAUUUCAGUUACACUGAUCCUGUGAAGGGGCAUAGAUGAAAUGUACUCAAUGAUAUUAUUGCUAGACUUGCAAUUGUCUAAUUCCCUCUGGAAUGGUAUGCUACCAACAUUUGUAUACUGUUGGCCCCUAC